AGCGCCCCUGAGAGAAGUCCAAAAGCACAACUUGACCACGGCGGCACUCUCCUGCUCAUGUUCCCCAGCAACUGGUAUUGAGAGACUUCUUGCUUCUGAUCCUGGAGGAAGAAAAGGAAAAGGAAACCUUGGGAGAGAAGCUGAAUAGCCCAGUUGUGGUGAAUUCCAACAAAGACACUUCAGCACAAAACACGACUUUCAUAGUGACAGAUAAAUCGUAUUAAAAACUGUGCCUUGAUAUCGGUAAGUUAUACUAAUUUUUUUUUUGUGGUUUUUUUCUUUAAAAAAAAAACUUUUGUAUUCAGCAUGCAAUAGUGUGGUUACGCCAUCUUUUUUAUUAUCAUAUAUAUGUUUUGUGGUAUUAUUAAAAUUAAUGCUCUUU